rnacentral:rRNA from 1 species
CGCUGGCGGCAGGCCUAACACAUGCAAGUCGAGCGGUAGCACAGAGAGCUUGCUCUCGGGUGACGAGCGGCGGACAGGUGAGUAAUGUCUGGGAAACUGCCUGAUGGAGGGGGAUAACUACUGGAAACGGUAGCUAAUACCGCAUAAUGUCGCAAGACCAAAGUGGGGGACCUUCGGGCCUCAUGCCAUCAGAUGUGCCCAGAUGGGAUUAGCUAGUAGGUGGGGUAACGGCUCACCUAGGCGACGAUCCCUAGCUGGUCUGAGAGGAUGACCAGCCACACUGGAACUGAGACACGGUCCAGACUCCUACGGGAGGCAGCAGUGGGGAAUAUUGCACAAUGGGCGCAAGCCUGAUGCAGCCAUGCCGCGUGUGUGAAGAAGGCCUUCGGGUUGUAAAGCACUUUCAGCGGGGAGGAAGGCGUUAAGGUCAAUAACCUUGGCGAUUGACGUUACCCGCAGAAGAAGCACCGGCUAACUCCGUGCCAGCAGCCGCGGUAAUACGGAGGGCGCAAGCGUUAAUCGGAAUUACUGGGCGUAAAGCGCACGCAGGCGGUCUGUCAAGUCGGAUGUGAAAUCCCCCGGGGCUCAACCUGGGAACUGCAUUCGAAACUGGCAGGCUAGAGUCUUGUAGAGGGGGGUAGAAUUCCAGGUGUAGCGGUGAAAUGCGUAGAGAUCUGGAGGAAUACCGGUGGCGAAGGCGGCCCCCUGGACAAAGACUGACGCUCAGGUGCGAAAGCGUGGGGAGCAAACAGGAUUAGAUACCCUGGUAGUCCACGCCGUAAACGAUGUCGAUUUGGAGGUUGUGCCCUUGAGGCGUGGCUUCCGGAGCUAACGCGUUAAAUCGACCGCCUGGGGAGUACGGCCGCAAGGUUAAAACUCAAAUGAAUUGACGGGGGCCCGCACAAGCGGUGGAGCAUGUGGUUUAAUUCGAUGCAACGCGAAGAACCUUACCUGGUCUUGACAUCCACAGAACUUAGCAGAGAUGCUUUGGUGCCUUCGGGAACUGUGAGACAGGUGCUGCAUGGCUGUCGUCAGCUCGUGUUGUGAAAUGUUGGGUUAAGUCCCGCAACGAGCGCAACCCUUAUCCUUUGUUGCCAGCGGUUAGGCCGGGAACUCAAAGGAGACUGCCAGUGAUAAACUGGAGGAAGGUGGGGAUGACGUCAAGUCAUCAUGGCCCUUACGACCAGGGCUACACACGUGCUACAAUGGCAUAUACAAAGAGAAGCGACCUCGCGAGAGCAAGCGGACCUCAUAAAGUAUGUCGUAGUCCGGAUUGGAGUCUGCAACUCGACUCCAUGAAGUCGGAAUCGCUUGUAAUCGUAGAUCAGAAUGCUACGGUGAAUACGUUCCCGGGCCUUGUACACACCGCCCGUCACACCAUGGGAGUGGGUUGCAAAAGAAGUAGGUAGCUUAACCUUCGGGAGGGCGCUUACCACUUUGUGAUUCAUGACUGGG